rnacentral:rRNA from 1 species
AUACGGAGGGUGCAAGCGUUAUUCGGAAUCACUGGGCGUAAAGGACGCGUAGGCGGGUUGGCAAGUCAGAUGUGAAAUCCUACAGCUUAACUGUAGAACUGCAUUUGAAACUGCUAACCUAGAGUAUGGGAGGUGGAGAUGGAAUUAGUGGUGUAGGGGUAAAAUCAGUAGAUAUCACUAGGAAUACCGAAAGCGAAGGCGAUCUCCUGGAACAUAACUGACGCUAAGGCGUGAAAGCGUGGGGAGCAAACAGGAUUAGAUACCCUAGUAGUCC